ensembl:lncRNA
GCUACAGUUUCAUUUUGGUGAAACACUGCAAAUUCUCUUGCAUUCCCAUAAUGUGGUUCAUAUGCCAGUGUCUAAGGAAAGAGAUCACCCUUCCAGCACAUACUACCAUUCAGCUUCCCUGGAUUGUGGCACAGGACAGGACAAAGAGAACUUCCUGUUUAGGGGUUUCUGAGAUUCAACUGUGGAAAGAAUAGCCAUGACUUGAAGAUGUCAGUGCUAAAAGCCCAAACGAAAUUUGGAAACCUGGAGAAUCUUAGCAAUGGAAGAUGAUGGGCAGAAAAAUUAAUGAAGUAUUUUGGCAGACUAGAUAUUGAUCCGAAGUAUGUAAAAUGCACAAUCAUGGAGCAUCAAAAGCCUACUUCAAGUAGAGGCCUGCUACCAAAGAAAGACUGAGAAUCAUCCCUAGUCAUUCAUUGGUUUGGACAGUUUCCAGCUUCAACUCUGUCUUCCUUGCUUCCCCAGAGGCAGCCAAUAACACCUCUUUACCUCCACAAACAAACAAGCAAACCAACCUGUUUGUUCUUAAUUCUAACUGCCAAGUCUUAGCACUAAAGCUGAUAUUGAGUUGGUGUAAACUGGAGUUUAAUCGAUCUGUGUGGAUUUAUCUCUACUAAAGGUUUGUCUUACAGUUAUUUGACAAACACAGGCACAGUGCUUUGUGGAGGGUGGCAGUCUACAGUAGAGAAGAGGAUGGUAUGGCUACUUAAGCUAUGACAUGUUGGGCAUUACACUGUGUGAUUACUUCAUCAGAAAAUAGAAUCAUUAAGAUUGGAAAAGACCACUAAAAUCAUCUAGUCCAACUGUCAACCUAUCCCCCACCAUGCCCACUAACCGUGUCCCUCAGUGCUACAUUUAUCCUAUUCAUGAAACCCUCCAGGGACAGUGCCUUCACCACUUCCCUGUAUUUUACAUUCAGUUCUGCAAAGAUAUGUCUGGUAAUGCAAACUACUGGAGACAGAGGAUAAUAAAUUUGUUUCUGCAACCUCUGUUUUUAUAUAUCUUUUA